UGGCAGGGUGGGUACAUCAACCUAUAUAUUGGGAUAGAAACAUGCUCUGUUGACCAAUUGAGGGGGAAGUUGACUGCAAACCGGUUGGAGGGCUGCAUGACGCUGAUGACAUGGUGGUCGCUUCAAAUAAGGCUUGUCUGAGGCUCCCAAUAGGGCUUGUCUGAGGCUUGUAUGAGGCUCCGAAUCGGAGCCUCAUACACGUGUUCGUCAUGGUUCUGGUUGUCCUGACUUUACCGCUUGCGCUAACAGCUGCAAGCAAGAAGGAAAACAAGGAGGAACGUGUCUUCCUUCUUAUAUGUUCUCCUGCGUUUGUUUGGAGGUGGUGUGCAUGCUUUACCAACAAGACAAUAAAGAUAUUGAUACGAAACAGCCGCCAAACUAGGCUGCAUGAAAGAGGAAGACAAAGUCAGUUGUCAUUGGAUGCUGGUCUGGCGCCAUCUUGCUCGU